AUCCUUUCGGUUCAUGUAAAUGAUGACUGGUGAAUUCACGGCCCAUUCGUGAAGGGUACACGCCUAACCUUGUUACGCAAUGUGCCUAAAACCGUCUGACC